CGCGUGAGGAACCUGCCUCAAAGAGGGGGACAACAGUUGGAAACGACUGCUAAUACCGCAUAAGCCCACGGCUCGGCAUCGAGCAGAGGGAAAAGGAGCGAUCCGCUUUGAGAUGGCCUCGCGUCCGAUUAGCUAGUUGGUGAGGUAACGGCCCACCAAGGCGACGAUCGGUAGCCGGACUGAGAGGUUGAACGGCCACAUUGGGACUGAGACACGGCCCAGACUCCUACGGGAGGCAGCAGUGGGGAAUAUUGCACAAUGGGGGAAACCCUGAUGCAGCGACGCCGCGUGGAGGAAGAAGGUCUUCGGAUUGUAAACUCCUGUUGUUGAGGAAGAUAAUGACGGUACUCAACAAGGAAGUGACGGCUAACUACGUGCCAGCAGCCGCGGUAAAACGUAGGUCACAAGCGUUGUCCGGAAUUACUGGGUGUAAAGGGAGCGCAGGCGGGAGAACAAGUUGGAAGUGAAAUCCAUGGGCUCAACCCAUGAACUGCUUUCAAAACUGUUUUUCUUGAGUAGUGCAGAGGUAGGCGGAAUUCCCGGUGUAGCGGUGGAAUGCGU
rnacentral:rRNA from 1 species